rnacentral:rRNA from 1 species
UACGUAGGUGGCAAGCGUUGUCCGGAUUUACUGGGUGUAAAGGGCGUGCAGCCGGGGAGACAAGUCAGAUGUGAAAUCCACGGGCUCAACCCGUGAACUGCAUUUGAAACUGUUUCCCUUGAGUGUCGGAGAGGUAAUCGGAAUUCCUUGUGUAGCGGUGAAAUGCGUAGAUAUAAGGAAGAACACCAGUGGCGAAGGCGGAUUACUGGACGAUAACUGACGGUGAGGCGCGAAAGCGUGGGGAGCAAACAGG